AUGACAAGUUGUGAUUUCCAAGUGAACAGUGUCUUGAUAUAUCAUGUGCCCAGAACAUUUCCUUUAAUAAGAUUGACCUUGCAAUUCUCAUUCCCUGCUCCUAGUGACAUUACAUUACUGCAGGUCAUCUACAUGGCUUCUUUGCCCUUUUUUCCUAGACUUAUCUCGGCAAGUCACUUCUUCCAGAUGACUCAACAAAAGAUGCUAAAUCAAGCAGAAUUUUGGCAGCCACUCUUUUGGAAAGGAUGCUCAAGAACAGACGUUGGAGACCUGCACAUGCUCCUUAAAAUUGGAAAGAAGUCUGUCUGGGCAUAGAGAGCACAUGAAAAAAGAUCGAUGAGAAACAACCUAGUGCAUGUAUAAACUACAAGCAAUUUCUUAUGGUUGAAUUACUCAGUACAAGACAAUAAAUAGAGAAAGGAAAGGUAGGUAAUGAUCAGUUCAUGGAAAGCUUGUAGGUCACAUUCUGAAGUUUGGAUGUGGGUUGUUAAAGGGAGAUCAGGUGAGGAUUUGUUGGGAUGAAAAAUGGAGAAAGGAUUUGAAAAAUAGAGAUAAAAUGGGAAGGACUUGAUUAAUUGGAUAUUGAUAGAGAAAUUGAUGUCCAGUUUUCUAAUGUAGGAACUCUAACCAUCCCAACAUUUGGAGAAUAGGUGAUAAGUAACAAAUUGGAUGGGAAACAUGAUAAACUGAAUAUUUGGAUACUUUGAGAUUGGGAUGGAAUAUUCACCCAUCCUAGUAUUCAGGUGGAUGUUUCUAGUAGGUGAUUGGAUUUCCAGUUCUGAGGUAUUUUGAGAAAAAUCUGAGCUGGAGAUACAAUUUGGGAGUUAAAACCACAGAGGUGAAUCAGAUGACCCAGAGAGAGAGAGUCCAUAUAGAGACAAAUUUAGUUUAAUCCUAAUUCUGCCAUAUUUAGCUAUGUGGGCCUUAGGUGGAGGGUUGGGUUGGGGUGAAAUAUUAAGAAAAUUUCAAAACAAAUUAAGGUGGAAUUUGAAAAGGUCUUUGAAUGGGGUGAAGUUGAAGUAGAAAUUUAGUAUGACUAUCACAUUUCUGGCUUGGGCAACUGGUUAGAUGGUGGUGACAUUCCCUAAAUUAUGGAUGGGCGGUUGGCGGGAGCCAGGUGCUAGUCAGAGUGCUAGAUAAGACUUCCCAGAAUUGCAAAUGUUAGGCAAAAUAAUCCUUCUGACUUAUUUUUCUGUUAUAGGACAUUGUUGGAGGAUGAGUGAUAGGGGACAGUCUUUGAGAAUCUCUCUCCAAAAAAACAGAACUGUUAACUUACAUAAUGUUCUAGCAUUGUCUAUGAUUCUCUGGUAUUCAUUAGAAAUUUUCCUGAUUUGUAGAAAAUGAGAUGUUGUGUAGAUCUGUAAACCUGUGACUGUCAAAAGAAGGAAUAAAUACAAAAGUUGGUUGUUAAUUAGGACUGUUUAUAAACGGUUUGCCAUGCACCCAAAGCUAGGAACUUGGUUGAUGUGUGUUAUACAUUUGUAAAGCCUUUGUAAACUAGUCAAGUCUUAUAGGCCUGGAAACCAUUUUUUUUUCUUGGCGACUUCAUUUCUCCUUUGAUUUAUUGAGUGAGUUAAAAAAUUUAACUCCAGAGGGCAGUUUUAUUUUUAUAGUUCCAAAUGCUACAAUACUUCCUUUUACUUAAAAAAAAUUUAUGUGGACAUUUUGAGAUUUCAGUGGCACUUUAAAUCCUACUGAGUAAUAGCCAAAACUCAAGUUGGUCUUUAAGGCUUGCCUUUAUCUAGACCAGUGCUGUCCAAUACUUAAUAUAAUGUCAGGCAUGUGUAAUUUUAUUUAUUUAUUUAUUUAUUUAUAAUAAAUUUAUUUGUUUAUUUUUGGCUGCGUUGGGUCUUCAUUGUGGUGCGCCGGCUUCUCAUUGUGGUGGCUUCUCUUAUUGCGGAGUGCGGGCUCUAGGCGCCCAGGCUUCAGUAGUUGUGGCACGCGGGCUCAGUAGUUACGGUGCAUGGGCUUAGUUGGUCCGUGGCAUGUGGGAUCUUCCUGGACCAGGGCUUGGACAUGUGUCCCCUGCAUUGGCAGGCGGAUUCCUAACCAUUGCACCACCAGGGAAGUCCAGGCAUGUAUAAUUUUAAAAUUUCUGAUGGCCACAUUAAAAAAAGUAAAAACCAGGUGAGAUUAGCCUUAAUACAUUUAAUUUAGCCUUAUAUAUACAGGAUAUUAUUAUCUCAACAUAUAAUAAAAGCUUUUAUUAAUGAGCUAUUUUACAUGCUUUGACAUCUAGAAUAUAGAUUACUCUUACAGGUAGGGUGACCCUGUGUUGUGUGACUUACAGUGCUAAAACUUGUACAGAUGGUCACCUUAUUUACAGCCCAUAUUAAUUCAGAUGCUGCAUUUUUAUUGAAAAUACUUGGUCUAUAUUUAGGUUACAUAAAAUCUACUGUUUGAAAAAGUUUAUUCAUAUAUGCAGGUUCUUCCAAAUAUACUUAAAAGUGUUCCUAUAACUGAAUCGGGUAUCAGUUAAAUUUACAUUAAUUCAAAUUAAACCUUCAGUUCUUCAGUUGUACUAGCCACAUUUUAAGUGCUCAGUAGCCACAUGUAGCCAGUGACUACCAUGUUGACAGUGCCAGUCUUGAACAACCUGUACCUUUCUAGCUAAAUCCUAGUCUUCACGCAGCCACUGUGCUCCAGCUAGACUGCACUGAUUGCCCUUCC
rnacentral:lncRNA from 1 species